rnacentral:rRNA from 1 species
AUGGCCGCCGCCGCCGACUCCGGGCCCGAGCUGCGGCGGAGCUCCAGCAUCGACCGCAUCCCGGCGGAGGCGCGCCGCAUCCUGCACCGCCUCGCCGGCGAGCUCUGGGGCGCCGACGUCGACCCCGCCGCGCUCGUCGUGUACCAGCUCCAGGGCGCCCUCACCAACGAGGUCUUCCGCAUCACCUGGCCCGGCGGCGAGGGCGACCCGCGCAAGGUGCUCGUGCGCAUCUACGGCCAGGGCGUCGAGGUCUUCUUCGACCGCGCCGACGAGGUCCGCACCUUCGAGUGCAUGUCCCGCCACGGCCAGGGCCCCCGCCUCCUCGGCCGCUUCCCCCAGGGCCGCGUCGAGGAGUUCAUCAACGCCAGGACGCUCUCGGCGCCGGAUCUGCGCGACCCGGAGAUUUCCGGCCUGAUUGCCAGGAAGCUGCGGGAGUUUCACGAGCUCGACAUGCCUGGACCCAAGGACAUCUCGCUCUGGCAGAGGCUGAGGCGGUGGCUUGAGGAAGCUCGCAGCAGGUGCUCGACUGAGGAGGCUAGGGAAUUGCGGUUGGAGACGCUCGGCGAUGAGAUUGCGGAGCUGGAGAAUGUAUUGUCCGGGGUCGAUCAGAGAGUAGUGUUUUGCCAUAAUGAUUUGCAGUAUGGGAACAUUAUGAUAUAUGAAGAGACCAGACAAGUGACCUUAAUUGACUAUGAAUACGCCAGUUUUAACCCUGUUGCGUUUGACAUUGCGAAUCACUUCUGCGAGAUGGCUGCUGAUUAUCAUAGUGAUACACCGCACGUGAUGGACUUUACAAAAUAUCCUGACGUGGAUGAACAGAGGAGAUUUCUUGAGGCUUACCUUAGUUCUUCAGGAGAAAACCCAUCCGAUGUAGAAGUCGAAACAUUGCUUGGCUUGAUUGCAAAGUACAGUCUCACAAGCCAUCUCUUCUGGGGUCUCUGGGGAAUAGUCUCGGCGCAUGUGAACAAGAACAUCGACUUCGAGUACAAGGAGUACGCGAGGCAUCGGUUGGACCAGUACUGGGACACGAAGCCUAGAAUACUGCAAGCCUGCAACCCAACCAGCUGA